rnacentral:rRNA from 1 species
UACGUAGGGCGCAAGCGUUGUCCGGAAUUAUUGGGCGUAAAGAGCUCGUAGGCGGUUUGUCGCGUCUGCCGUGAAAUCCCGAGGCUUAACCUCGGGCUGGCGGUGGAUACGGGCAGACUAGAGGUAGGUAGGGGAGAAUGGAAUUCCCGGUGUAGCGGUGAAAUGCGCAGAUAUCGGGAGGAACACCGGUGGCGAAGGCGGUGCUCUGGGCCUUAACUGACGCUGAGGAGCGAAAGCGUGGGGAGCGAACAGG